UACGAAGGGGGCUAGCGUUGUUCGGAAUUACUGGGCGUAAAGCGCACGUAGGCGGAUAUUUAAGUCAGGGGUGAAAUCCCAGAGCUCAACUCUGGAACUGCCUUUGAUACUGGGUAUCUUGAGUAUGGAAGAGGUAAGUGGAAUUGCGAGUGUAGAGGUGAAAUUCGUAGAUAUUCGCAGGAACACCAGUGGCGAAGGCGGCUUACUGGUCCAUUACUGACGCUGAGGUGCGAAAGCGUGGGAGCAACAGG
rnacentral:rRNA from 1 species